UGUGUGAUCCAUCCAUGGCUGUGCAAAAAUCGAAUACUAUAUGUUGCCCUCCAUGUGUUGGACGAAUUGUCUUAGAGAUAAUUUUAUCAUCCUCAAGCUAUUUCUUCGACUUUCUCUUUCGUUCUUGCUCAAGCUUUAUUUCUUGCAGAGAAUAAAUGCAGAUUAUGUGGAGGAAACCACUUUGCAAAUUGUAAUAUCUUUUAGGAAUGUCGAAGCUUAAAGUUUCUAUUGUCUCAUAGUGCAAAUCAAGACUAUCUUUAAUCAUUAAAAGUUUUGGAUGUGGAAAAGAGUUUGAUUAGUUUAGCAUGCCAAUUUUGCUAAUCUUGUGAGACUAAUGCACUAUUGAAUGCUCAUAUAUAUAUAUAUAUAUAUAUAUAUAUAUAUAUAUAUAUAUAUAUAUAUAUAUAUAUAUAUUUGAUUUAUUUCUUUGCAGCUCUUACUUUGCAGCUAAAAUUAAGUUUUUUAGUUAUUGAGUCCCCUCUUAUAUGUGCAAUCAAGGCUCGCUCAUUUGAAUGCAUGGAUGCGCUACUUAAGAUUGCGGGUUAUUAGCCCCAUUCACGCAUGUAUAUGGACACCUUGAAUGGACAUCUUCUUUAUAAUAGGAAUACCAACUUAGCCUACGUAGCUAUCCUCAAAUCCCAGCGUUCUCAAAAUCCUCGAUUCUCCUUCAUCCUCAAAAUUCCUUAAUAUCUUCUUCAACAUUUCCAUUCUAAUCCCCUCACUCAAAUCUCAACUGUGUUUCACCACAAUCAAUGGAAAGUGUUUCACCGUAAUCAAUGGAAUUCAAUAAUCAGCUCCUUACCAUCUACAAUUUCAAUGUUUCUAUUAUGAUGGUGGUUGGCUUCUCGCAAGAUCUCUGUCAUUUGCCUCUCGAUUCUCCAUUCUCCAUUCUCCAUUCUCCUUAAUCAUUUCCAUGAACUCUACCUCUAUCACCUCUUGAUUCUCAUUGAUUAAUGCCCCCAGUGAAGGUAAAAAGCCUAACAUAAGCUUCUCAAUCAUUAAUUGUACCCUAUCUUUUCAACUAUAAAUAUUUGGGAAAUGGUUUCCACACAAACCAUCCGAAAUUCUUUUUUGUUUUACAUGUCAUCUUUGGUUAAUUGGAUCUCAAUUUUUUAGGUUUGUUCUUUCAGAUUUUGUUGAUUAAUAUGAUAUUUUCAUCAUUAUUCGUGUGAGGUGUUUUGUGUUUUUGAUUUUGUAUUAGCGCCGAGAAAUAUAUAUUGUUGGAGGUGAGUGACAAGCACUGGCUGAUAUAUAUAUAGUGGGAAAAAACUGCAAAAUUCGAGGUGAUAGUUGAGUGGAAUCGCAUAAAAAAACUAACAUUCAAAGAGAAAAGGAGACUGUUGUUGCAGCCUUGAUUAAUUAUGUUAAUGAUUUAUUUUUUCCAUUAUGUUAGUACGCAUAUAGUACAUAUACUUCCAUCUAAUUUAGUAUAGUAUAAUAUAAUGUAAUAGGACGAAUUGAAAUUCACAAACAUGGUACUCUGUUAUUUUUUGCGUUCCGUAAUUGGAUUAGAUCUGUGCUUUUCUGAUAUUAGUUUUGGUUUUCUGCGGUUUCUUAUAAAUAUUAUUUUCUUUUAUAUAGUAAUUGGAAUAGAUCUGUGCUUUUUCUUGAUAUUAUUGCAGCGUUUAGAUCUGUGCUUUAUUUUUUAUGUAACAAAUAUAAUCUCAAUAUUCGAUUGCGUAUCGUUUGGAAUGAAAGAGUAUUGGUGUUACAUGAGGUAAGGCAGUGGAGUUAAUGUGUGGCACUCAUUUCUUCAUGAGUUGAUGUUUAACAAUCGGUAAUGUGAAGAAGAUAUAGUGGUGCUUGGUUAGUUAUUUUUUACAAUAUUCAAAUGGUGUCACUGAUUUACAGGAGUAUAACAUAAAUGAGUGGUGGAGAUCUGGGAGUAUCUGCCUUCCCUGACGGGGAGAGCAUAUUUACGUGGACCGGCACAAUUUAAGGCGGCAAAGGAACCAUGACGGUCUGUCUUAUAAACUUUGGCUGCGGUUUCCACUAGAAUCUAGAUUAUCCUUUCUCAAGUCACAUUUGAGACUACAUGCUUCCAUCCAAAUGUCGACCAAUUUGGGAAUAUUUGUUUGGGCAUUCUUCAAGAUAAGUGGUGUUCAGCAUAUGAUUGCAGAAUGAUUCUCUUGUCCAUCCAGAGCCUACUAGGAGGUCAGACGACAUUGUUGUCUCACUUUUCUGUUGGCUCUUUUGUAUGUAUUUAUGUAAUAAUUUUUCUUAUUGUAAUAAGCAAAACCCAAUACUCCCAUUUCAAUGCGUCUACUGCUUUGCUUUGGAAAAACCAGGAAGGUUCGUAGAAUUUGCAUUUUGUUCUUGAACUCAA